UUUCCCCAACUCCUCCCCUCACUAAACACUUUUUAAAUGUUCCUAAAGUGCAGCUUGUGUUUUAUGCUAGGACAUGGUAAUCCAUCCACAUGCUGUGCUGGCAAAGCAAAUAUGCUUUUACCUGUAGAGCAUAUACCCGGUUAUUCACUUCUUCCCUCUUCUCCUUCAAGUUCAUGCAAGGAAAUUUCCUGGGUAAUUUAAGAGUCAUCUGCUACCCCAUUCACUCAAGGUAAAUUGAUAUCUAUGAAUAUUUCUCCAGUGAAGGUCUAAAGUCAUGAACUACUGUGUUCUUUCUGCAGAUGAACUUGAAUGUCACGGAGAGAGCAACAAGAAUUAUUCCAGAAUAUGAACAGGAUCGCUUCACCAGGUAAGUUUCCUGAACACUGAGGUGUGAAUGGGAAGAGGCAUCUUUCACAUCCUUAGCUGAAACAUUCAGCAUACAGCUGAGACUCAAUUUCCUGACUGCCUGCUCAGAACAAAGGGCUUGGUACACUGCUCUCACUUCUCUUCUGUGUGGCUGCUGUUCUUCACUUCUUCCUGAGGU